UACGUAGGGUGCGAGCGUUAAUCGGAAUUACUGGGCGUAAAGCGUGCGCAGGCGGUUAUGUAAGACAGUUGUGAAAUCCCCGGGCUCAACCUGGGAAUUGCAUCUGUGACUGCAUAGCUAGAGUACGGUAGAGGGGGAUGGAAUUCCGCGUGUAGCAGUGAAAUGCGUAGAUAUGCGGAGGAACACCGAUGGCGAAGGCAAUCCCCUGGACCUGUACUGACGCUCAUGCACGAAAGGCGUGGGGAGCAAACAGG
rnacentral:rRNA from 1 species